GGAUUUGGGGAAUUAUUUGAGAAAGCAAAACAAAACAAUAACAAUAGAAAAACUUCUAAUGGUGAUGACAGCCUCUUCUUCAGUAAUUUCUCACUUCUUGGUACUCCUGUCCUGAAAGAUAUUUCAAGAUAGAAAGAGGACAGCUGUUGGUGGUUGCUGGAUCCACUGGAGCAGGCAAGGUAGUCUCUUUUAUUCUUCAUUAUUAAGAACUU
rnacentral:lncRNA from 10 species